AUAAGUCUCUGUUAGGUGAGGCUCCUGUAUAGAGAAAUGCUACUGCCCAAAAAUGUCGAGAGACGCCAAUGGGUCAACAGGAAUGAUCGAAUUAAGGUUUUUCUUAACGUAGCUGGUAAUGUACCUAUGCUAUACAGUGCUAAAACUCGGCGAGGGAGAGGUCCGU
rfam:Bacillus anthracis str. 'Ames Ancestor', complete genome.